rnacentral:rRNA from 1 species
AUUGAACGCUGGCGGCGUGCUUAACACAUGCAAGUCGAUCGGUAACGCGGGGGCAACCCUGGCGACGAGAGGCGGACGGGUGAGGAACGCUUGGGAAUCUGCCUAUCAGCGGGGGACAACACGGGGAAACUCGUGCUAAUACCGCAUACGCUCUACGGAGGAAAGCCGGGGACCGCAAGGCCUGGCACUGAUAGAUGAGCCCAAGCCGGAUUAGCUAGUUGGCGGGGUAACGGCCCACCAAGGCGACGAUCCGUAGCUGGUCUGAGAGGACGAUCAGCCACACUGGGACUGAGACACGGCCCAGACUCCUACGGGAGGCAGCAGUGGGGAAUAUUGGACAAUGGGGAAAACCCUGAUCCAGCGACGCCGCGUGGGUGAAGAAGGCCUGCGGGUUGUAAAGCCCUUUCGGUAGGGACGAAAGCUCUCGACCUAACACGUCGGGAGGCUGACUUAACCUACAAAAGAAGCACCGGCUAACUCUGUGCCAGCCGCCGCUGUAAUAC